AUUUAUGUAGGUUGCUUUAUUUCUCUUAUGUUUUAGUCACCCUGUACCCAUUAUAGGUGCAGGGUGUGUGUAAUGUAAUUGUUUAUAGUGUGUGUGUGCGUGUGUGUGUGUGUACUGUGUAAUGUAUUGCCUGCUCUCCUGUACUGCUGAGGUUUGCUACCAACUAGGUGGAUUUGGCUAUGGAGCUUGUAUAGUGCCCUCUGUUGGUAGCAACAGCAAUAUGCACUACCUGAAUAACAAGACUGGUUCAUUUGCAUAUUCGGGUAGAUUUGCAUAUUGCUAAUUCUGCAGACAUGUGAGAUAUUUUCUGUUGGUUAUUGUCUCCCCCACCUAUUUGGAAAUGUGCCAUUGUGUUGUGAUAAGUCAC